UGAAAAAUUAAAAAAGGCAAUAUAUCACACUUUUGGGUACUCAAUCAUCUUGAGAAAGGAACUUGGAUUGUGGCUAAGGAACUCCUUUAAUUGGAUAGAGAUUUAGACCAACGAGAUUAAGCAAGCAAGGCAAGUGAUGUAACAUAUUUAAUCUUAGGAAAUUUUCAGUUCACAUAAGUUUCUACAAUAUUGUUAAGUAGAAACAUGCUUAGGUGUGAAAUUACAUUGUUGUCAUAGCCGUCUAAUGUUAUUUUCUUGCAUAUUAUCUUGCUGUAAAUAGAGUUAAAGUGAUAAAAU
rnacentral:lncRNA from 1 species